UACAGAGGGUGCGAGCGUUAAUCGGAAUGACUGGGCGUAAAGGGUGCGUAGGUGGUUUGUUAAGUUAGCUGUGAAAUACCUGGGCUUAACCUGGGAAUUGCAGCUAAAACUGAUGAACUAGAGUAGGUGAGAGGAGUGUGGAAUUUCCGGUGUAGCGGUGAAAUGCGUAGAGAUCGGAAAGAACACCGGUGGCGAAGGCGGCACUCUGGUACCAUACUGACACUGAGGCACGAAGGCGUGGGGAGCAAACAGG
rnacentral:rRNA from 1 species